UCGGGCUCUCCCACGUACACUGAUAAGUAGGUCAUGAUCUUGUCACCCUAAGUUCGAUCAGAACCUCAAAUUGAUACGUACAUAAAAAGUUUGAUUAACUCAGGAUCAGAUAUUAGUGUUGAUAUCAGCUCCUACACUUGUUUAGGUCACACCCAACAAGGUUACUCCUGGGCCAUUAGCUCAGGUGGCUAGAGCGCACCCUGAUAAGGGUGAGGUCCCUGGUUCAAGUCCAGGAUGGCCCAUUCGUUGUUGGGGGUUUAGCUCAGUUGGUAGAGCGCGUGCUUUGCAAGCAGGAUGUCAGCGGUUCGAGUCCGCUAACCUCCACUGAUCUACCUCCUGUGAAUAAGCAAUGGAGGAAGUCUUGUUGAUGUGAUUUAGAUUAUUUUGCUGACAAAGACCCUAGCUUCCUAUCAUUCAAAAUUUGAAUUACAUUUUUUUAGAUUUUGUUGAUAAGACGCUGGGCUCACUGUGGUUCAACAGAACUGCAGAGAAGUCUGGCAGAACCUUGACAACUGCAUAGGUGAGUCUGGAAAGAAUAAAGCAUCUCAUGGAUGCAUUAUUCUUCAAAAUUAGAUUAGGUAAUUGUGAAAGCAAUUAACCUAAGUUGAUUUAGAUGAAUAGUGUUUAAUUCUUGAGUCAAGAGCUGAGACUCUAUAGCU
rnacentral:tRNA from 1 species